rnacentral:rRNA from 1 species
CAGUCGCCGCGGUAAUACGAAGGGGGCUAGCGUUGUUCGGAUUUACUGGGCGUAAAGCGCACGUAGGCGGAUCGAUCAGUCAGGGGUGAAAUCCCAGAGCUCAACUCUGGAACUGCCUUUGAUACUGUCGAUCUGGAGUAUGGAAGAGGUGAGUGGAAUUCCGAGUGUAGAGGUGAAAUUCGUAGAUAUUCGGAGGAACACCAGUGGCGAAGGCGGCUCACUGGUCCAUUACUGACGCUGGGGUGCGAAAGCGUGGGGAGCAAACAGGAUUAGAUACCCCUGUAGUCCCUGUCUCUUAUAC